rnacentral:miRNA from 1 species
CUCAGCAAAUGCUGAAAUUUCUCGCUGGGGCCUCCAAAUGUUACGGUGCCCGCGAGUUAAAGUACGAGACAGCCAAACAGAAUUUAAAGAGCCUUUUAUUAG